CCUACGGGAGGCAGCAGUGGGGAAUAUUGCACAAUGGGGGAAACCCUGAUCCAGCAACGCCGCGUGAGUGAAGAAGUAUUUCGGUAUGUAAAGCUCUAUCAGCAGGGAAGAGAAUGACGGUACCUGACUAAGAAGCCCCGGCUAACUACGUGCCAGCAGCCGCGGUAAUACGUAGGGGGCAAGCGUUAUCCGGAUUUCUUGGGUGUAAAGGGUGCGUAGGCGGAUCGUUAAGUCGGUGGUGAAAUUGAGGGGCUAAACCCCUUCCCGCCAUUGAAACUGGCGAUCUUGAGUGGCAGAGAGGUAUGCGGAAUGCGUGGUGGAGCGGUGAAAUGCAUAGAUAGCACGCAGAACCCCGAUUGCGAAGGCAGCAUGCCGGCUUCCGACUGACGCUGAAGCACGAAAGCGUGGGGAUCGAACAGGAUUAGAUACCCUUGUAGUC
rnacentral:rRNA from 1 species